rnacentral:misc_RNA from 1 species
GAUGAAGAACGUAGCGAAAUGCGAUACUUGGUGUGAAUUGCAGAAUCCCGUGAACCAUCGAGUCUUUGAACGCAAGUUGCGCCCGAAGCCAUUAGGCCGAGGGCACGCCUGCCUGGGCGUCACACGACGUUGCCCCCCCAUCUACUCCUUCGGGAUUGCGGGGGGCGGAUGAUGGCCUCCCGUGCGCCUCGCCGCGCGGUUGGCAUAAAUGCCAAGUCCUCGGCGACGCACGCCACGACAAUCGGUGGUUGCGAAACCUCGGUUGCCCGUCGUGUGCGGUCGUCGCGCAUCGAGGGCUCGAAAAAAUUGCCGGGUUCCGGCUCGGCUUUCAACGCGACCCCAGGUCAGGCGGGGUUACCCGCUGAAUUUAAGCAUAUCAAUAAGCGGAGGA